rnacentral:lncRNA from 1 species
CGGAAAGUUUUUUUUUUUUUUGAAAAGAUUGGUCAUCGGUUUGGUUUAUUAGUCGGUUAGCUCAAUUUUGUAAAAUUUAAAUUAAAUAAAUUCUCAAUCGAACUAACAUAAAAAUCAAACUAACCGACAUAACCGUGUUUACUAUUUUCGAGUUUUUAACAAGUUUUACUUUAACUAAAAUGUAAGAAGCGUUAUUCAAUUAAUGAUUUAAAGUCAAUUAUUAGAUAGUGUUAUUCAAUCAUAUAUUUUAAUAGAGUUUUAGAGGUUGAUUGUUUGUAGUUUUUAGAUUAGUUUUGGUUUUUGUUUUCUCAAAAACUAUUUUUCAUCCAAUCAAGUUUUAGCUUUUAGUUUUUGUUUUUGUAAAAACCAUUUCAUUUACCAUUCAAGCUUUCUAACAUAUAGAUUCCCUAAAAUUUAGGGAAACUAGUUUUUGAAAAGUUUAA